rnacentral:rRNA from 1 species
AGAGUUUGAUCCUGGCUCAGAAUCAACGCUGGCGGCGUGCCUAACACAUGCAAGUCGCACGAGAAAGGGUAGCAAUACCUGAGUAAAGUGGCGCACGGGUGAGUAACACGUGACUAAUCUACCCUCGAGUGGGGAAUAACUGAGAGAAAUCUUAGCUAAUACCGCAUAACACUUACGAGUCAAAGCAGCAAUGCGCUUGGGGAGGAGGUCGCGGCCGAUUAGCUAGUUGGCGGGGUAAUGGCCCACCAAGGCGAUGAUCGGUAUCCGGCCUGAGAGGGCGCACGGACACACUGGAACUGAAACACGGUCCAGACUCCUACGGGAGGCAGCAGUGGGGAAUUUUGCGCAAUGGGGGAAACCCUGACGCAGCAACGCCGCGUGGAGGAUGAAGUAUCUUGGUACGUAAACUCCUUUCGAUGGGGAAG